UUUAGGUAUUUAUAAGUGCAAAUCCCUCUUAAAAAUCUGGUGUGACGCAACCAUUAAAACCAUCAAGUCUUUCAACUCAUACAACAAACUCUGUCGCAUGUGGUAAAAACAACCAAAUUUUUGCUAAAAUAGCUCCUCUAACAGACCAUUGUGGGUCUUUAUUUGCUUAGCAUGGUAUAAGACCACAUACUUCGUAAUAAGCUGCUUGGACAAACAACCUAUCUGGUCUUUUCUUUGGUAGAGGAUAGUCUCAUCAAAAGAUGGGCCUUGUGUAAACUAGUUAAAAACAUUUGCAACAAUAAUAUGGAACUCCUCAUCCUAUCAUCUUUCCCACCGCUAAAACACAGUAGCUAUUGUAAGACAGACAGGCGUGUGACUUCCAGACUCUGGACUGUCUUCUUUCCUCACCACACCAACGUUUCCAACGUGUGUUAAGCUAUGAUAAAAGCUGCAGAGGCACAGAGGAACCACUCACACUAAUUACAUGAUUACAGGGAUCUGUGAAUAUAAUUAGUCCUGAGACUGUGACAUGCUACAAUGGAGGACAAUGCAGCUUGUGUGUGCAGGACUGAGCAGCGCUAGAAGUCAAUACUUGUGGUUUCUCCUCUUCUUGUGCGUCUUCUACUCCAGGACUCCCUGGAAGAAGAUGGGACCUUCCUGAGCCAAAACCCCAACCUCCAGAUCAACCCCCGAGGAGCUGGGCUGGGCUUGGAGCCAAAUCAAAGGAAUGGAUCUGUUUCUCACCCGCUCUUUCAGAAUCUUGGAUUGCCAUCUAGGGUGACAAGAAAUGUGGUAGGACUUCCUCCUGUACUCCACCACCUCCGGGGUCUAUUCAACUGGAUUUGCCUCUGUAGCGUCUUCCCAAGCACAACACAUGUCAAUCAUGGGGCUCUCCAGUCCUCCCCGGCACCACCGUCCGUGUCGGCUUCUGCGGCCACCCUCCCUUGGCUGACCUCAAUGGACGGCGCCUGCCCGGAGGGUCCCGCGGCAUAGGUAACCGGCCAUUUCCUUGAAUGUGA